UGAACGCUGGCGGCGUGCCUAAUACAUGCAAGUCGAGCGAACGGACGAGAAGCUUGCUUCUCUGAUGUUAGCGGCGGACGGGUGAGUAACACGUGGAUAACCUACCUAUAAGACUGGGAUAACUUCGGGAAACCGGAGCUAAUACCGGAUAAUAUUUUGAACCGCAUGGUUCAAAAGUGAAAGACGGUCUUGCCGUCACUUAUAGAUGGAUCCGCGCUGCAUUAGCUAGUUGGUAAGGUAACGGCUUACCAAGGCAACGAUGCAUAGCCGACCUGAGAGGGUGAUCGGCCACACUGGAACUGAGACACGGUCCAGACUCCUACGGGAGGCAGCAGUAGGGAAUCUUCCGCAAUGGGCGAAAGCCUGACGGAGCAACGCCGCGUGAGUGAUGAAGGUCUUCGGAUCGUAAAACUCUGUUAUUAGGGAAGAACAUAUGUGUAAGUAACUGUGCACAUCUUGACGGUACCUAAUCAGAAAGCCACGGCUAACUACGUG
rnacentral:rRNA from 1 species